rnacentral:rRNA from 1 species
UACGGCUCAGUAACACGUGGACAACCUACCCUUUAGGUCAGGAAUAACCCCGGGAAACUGGGACUAAUACCUUGAUAUAUCGCGAAUGCUGGAAUGCGUCGCGAUAGAAAGCUCCCGACGCCUAAGGACGGGUCUGCGGCCUAUCAGGGUAGUAGUGGGUGUAAAGUACCUACUAGCCUACGACGGGUACGGGUCGUGAGAGCGAGAUCCCGGAGAUGGAUUCUGAGACACGAAUCCAGGCCCUACGGGGUGCAGCAGGCGCGAAAACUUUACAAUGCUGGCAACAGCGAUAAGGGGACCUCGAGUGCCAGGAUACAAUCCUGGCUGUCGUUGUGUCUAAAAAACACGAUAUAGCAAGGGCCGGGCAAGACCGGUGCCAGCCGCCGCGGUAACACCGGCGGCUCGAGUGGUAACCGCUAUUAUUGGGUCUAAAGGGUCUGUAGCCGGCUGGAUAAGUCUCUUGGGAAAUCUGGCAGCUUAACUGUCAGGCUUUCAGGGGAUACUGUCCGGCUCGAGACCGGGAGAGGUGAGAGGUACCUCAGGGGUAGGGGUGAAAUCUUGUAAUCCUUGAGGGACCACCAGUGGCGAAGGCGUCUCACCAGAACGGAUCUGACGGCAAGGGACGAAAGCUAGGGGCACGAACCGGAUUAGAUACCCGGGUAGUCCUAGCCGUAAACGAUACUCGCUAGGUGUCGGCCACGGUGCGACCGUGGUCGGUGCCGUAGGGAAGCCGUGAAGCGAGCCACCUGGGAAGUACGGCCGCAAGGCUGAAACUUAAAGGAAUUGGCGGGGGAG